AACGUAGGAGACAAACGUUAUCCGGAGUUACUGGGCGUAAAGGGCGUGUAGGCGGUUUGUUAAGUUUGGCGUGAAAGCUCUCGGCUAAACCGGGAGAGGUCGUUGGAUACUGGCAAACUAGAGGACGGUAGAGGCGUGUGGAAUUCCGGGUGUAGUGGUGAAAUGCGUAGAGAUCCGGAGGAACACCAGUGGCGAAGGCGACACGCUGGGCCGUACCUGACGCUAAAGCGCGACAGCAUGGGGAGCAAACGGG
rnacentral:rRNA from 1 species